UACGUAGGGGGCAAGCGUUGUCCGGAUUUAUUGGGCGUAAAGAGCGUGUAGGCGGCCAGACAGGUCCGUUGUGAAAACUCGAGGCUCAACCUCGAGAUGUCGAUGGAAACCGUCUGGCUAGAGUCCGGAAGAGGAGUGUGGAAUUCCUGGUGUAGCGGUGAAAUGCGCAGAUAUCAGGAAGAACACCUAUGGCGAAGGCAGCACUCUGGGGACGGUACUGACGCUGAGACGCGAAAAGCGUGGGGAGCGAACAGG
rnacentral:rRNA from 1 species